rnacentral:rRNA from 1 species
GAACGCUGGCGGCGGCUUACACAUGCAAGUCGAGCGGUAACAUUUCUAGCUUGCUAGAAGAUGACGAGCGGCGGACGGGUGAGUAACGCGUAGGAAUCUGCCUAGUAGUGGGGGACAACAUGUGGAAACGCAUGCUAAUACCGCAUACGCCCUACGGGGGAAAGGAGGGGAUCUUCGGACCUUUCGCUAUUAGAUGAGCCUGCGUGAGAUUAGCUAGUUGGUGGGGUAAAGGCCUACCAAGGCGACGAUCUCUAGCUGGUCUGAGAGGAUGAUCAGCCACACUGGGACUGAGACACGGCCCAGACUCCUACGGGAGGCAGCAGUGGGGAAUAUUGGACAAUGGGCGCAAGCCUGAUCCAGCCAUGCCGCGUGUGUGAAGAAGGCCUUAGGGUUGUAAAGCACUUUCAGGAGUGAGGAAGGGCGUAUAGUUAAUACCUGUAUGUUUUGACGUUAACUCCAGAAGAAGCACCGGCUAACUCUGUGCCAGCAGCCGCGGUAAUACAGAGGGUGCGA